rnacentral:rRNA from 1 species
UACAGAGGUGGCAAGCGUUGUUCGGAAUUACUGGGCGUAAAGGGCGCGUAGGCGGCCUUCUAAGUCAGACGUGAAAUCCCCCGGCUUAACCUGGGAACUGCGUCUGAUACUGGGAGGCUUGAGUAUGGGAGAGGGAUGUAGAAUUCCAGGUGUAGCGGUGAAAUGCGUAGAUAUCGGGAGGAACACCAGUGGCGAAGGCGGCUUUCUGGACAUUUACUGACGCUGAGACGCGAAAGCGUGGGGAGCAAACAGG